rnacentral:lncRNA from 1 species
CCUCUCUCUGCCGGAGCCGCCGACUCUCCACCCCUUCCCCCAGCGGAUUGGCCGCCGACCUGCCGGGGGCCGGGGCGCUGGGGCCGCCUUCUCUCCACCCCCUUUCCCGGGGUGAUUCUUUCAACCGCUCUUCUUUUCCUCCUUCGGCUCCUCUCGCGCUCUUUCUUCGGCGUCUUGGCUCAGCGCGCUGCCGAUACAUUGUCUAUCCUACGCCCACCCACAGUUCACCGUAAUGAAUUAAGGAAGACAUUUUGCAGUCUCAUGAAUUGAGGGAUUGAUUCCUUGUGGUUUUCUUACCUUGCAAAACCUGCUUUAGAGGUGUCAGGAAUUAUGUCCCCUCAAUUUGAAAGUAAUGAAGGCAGACUUUGGUACCAGAGAAAUGGGGUCAUUGUGAUACUAUCUGACCAUGUGGUUCAGAAGCUGUUGGAACUGGUUCCCAGGAGGAGUUUGCAAAGUUUUGGAAAUGCCAGCUGAAGAAGCAGCCCUAGAAUGCUGUAAGCUGAGCCUCAUGGGAGAUUCUGGUCAGAGCUCAGAAGACCAAAAUGCAGAUAAAAAGGCAGAAGGAAAAGACCUGGCUUAGGCGGUUUCAGGUGGGAACAAUGAUUCUAUUGGCAGUUGGACUCCUGGCCGUGUGUGCUGUGCUUUGGCUGAAAAUUUGUCUACAUGUUGCAUCUGUCUUAAGACUGAGGGAGCCUGAGAUUAAAAGCAGCAGACUAACCUGGCUGAGGACAUUUUGAGGCAUUCUAAUCUUGCAGUGGUGGCAUGGAUACUGUUGGGGGCUUUUAGCUAGUUCUGCCUUAAGAAUUGAGAGCAAAAGUCACAGAUGAAUAAUUUAUAGUUUUGAAUUUGACCAGAAAGGAAGCUCUAAUAAAGUUUCGAGCCUGCAAAGAAGGGGUAGAAGAGAGUCUGGUUGCUAAAAAGAUUAGCAUUAAAAAGAAGCCAAGUAUUUUUGGAUGUACACUAUACAAAGGAUGCCUUGAGGGCAUGGGAGGAAGCCAACACUGACUCAAGAGUGGAAAAAUGAAAAAAAAAAAAGUGGAAAAAUGAAAGACUUUGCUUUGAGAAGAGAGCUCCAGGGGACUACACCCCUCAAUGGCACCAGCCUAAGAAAUAUGAGUUGAUUCCCUAGAUCACUAUGCUCAGCCAUCAAGCCACUGAGGUCACGGCAACCAUCAACAAGCAAAAGCACUCAGCCACUGCUCAAGCUGGUAGCAGACCUUGGCAUCAACCACAUGGCUCUGGUUUUACAUCCAUGCAGAAUGCAAGAGUUGUGGAGUCAGGAUGGCUUCUACUCAGAUUUUGGACAGAGGCCAGGCAGUAUGCUCUUGAGAGGGCAGUGUGUGAAGCUCUAAAAUAAAGCUGAAAGUAUAGUAGAG